rnacentral:rRNA from 1 species
GAUGAACGCUGGCGGCGUGCCUAAUACAUGCAAGUCGAGCGAACAGAUGAGGAGCUUGCUCCUCUGACGUUAGCGGCGGACGGGUGAGUAACACGUGGAUAACCUACCUAUAAGACUGGGAUAACUUCGGGAAGCCGGAGCUAAUACCGGAUAAUAUAUUGAACCGCAUGGUUCAAUAGUGAAAGACGGUUUUGCUGUCACUUAUAGAUGGAUCCGCGCCGCAUUAGCUAGUUGGUAAGGUAACGGCUUACCAAGGCAACGAUGCGUAGCCGACCCGAGAGGGGGAUAGGCCACACGGGAACGGAGACACGGUCCAGACUCCUACGGGAGGCAGCAGUAGGGAAUCUUCCGCAAUGGGCGAAAGCCUGACGGAGCAACGCCGCGUGAGUGAUGAAGGUCUUCGGAUCGUAAAACUCUGUUAUUAGGGAAGAACAAAUGUGUAAGUAACUAUGCACGUCUUGACGGUACCUAAUCAGAAAGCCACGGCUAACUACGUG